rnacentral:tRNA from 1 species
UCCAUCAUAACUCAGUUGGUAAAGAAUCUGCCUUUAAUGCAGGAGACCUGGGUUAGAUCCCUGGGUUGGAG